GACGAACGCUGGCGGCGUGCUUAACACAUGCAAGUCGACAAGAGUGGCAAACGGGUGAGUAACGCGUAUCAACCUGCCCUUCAGAGGGGGACAACAGUUGGAAACGACUGCUAAUACCGCAUACUAUCGGAUGAACCCAUAUGGGAUUAGCUAGUAGGUGGGGUAAAGGCUCACCUAGGUGACGAUCUCUAGCUGGUCUGAGAGGAUGAUCAGCCACACUGGGACUGAGACACGGUCCAGACUCCUACGGGAGGCAGCAGUGGGGAAUAUUGGACAAUGGGCGAAAGCCUGAUCCAGCCAUGCCGCGUGUGUGAAGAAGGUCUUCGGAUUGUAAAGCACUUUAAGUUGGGAGGCGUUACCAACAGAAUAAGCACCGGCUAACUUCGUGCCAGCAGCCGCGGUAAUUC
rnacentral:rRNA from 1 species